rnacentral:rRNA from 1 species
GUGUCAGCAGCCGCGGUAAUACGAAGGGUGCGAGCGUUAAUCGGAAUUACUGGGCGUAAAGCGCGCGUAGGUGGUUCAUUAAGUUAGGAGUGAAAGCCCCGGGCUCAACCUGGGAAUUGCUUCUAAAACUGGUGAGCUAGAGUACGGUAGAGGGUGGUGGAAUUUCCUGUGUAGCGGUGAAAUGCGUAGAUAUAGGAAGGAACAUCAGUGGCGAAGGCGACCACCUGGACUGAUACUGACACUGAGGUGCGAAAGCGUGGGGAGCAAACAGGAUUAGAAACCCCCGUAGUCC